UCCAGGCGUCCGCCGGACUUCAGCCACACAGAGCAUCUCGCGUCUCCGUUGGCGAAGUCGGGCCUUCAUCCCUAUUCUGUCUGCUGAGAUCCGCAAGGCUGCAGACCUGCAGCUCCUCUCAACCAUCUUUUGCCUUGUAGGACCCGGUUCCCCGAGCCUUUGUCUUUUCGGGUUCAUCAGGCCAGCGGUGCUGGAAAUACAGCGGUGAGCGACACACCUCUCUUGUUCCCGCUGAUCCUGCCAGCCCAGUGGAUGGAGCCCAGAAUCUACAAACCUGCCAGGAAAGAAAAAAAAUUUCCUGAUGGUUGGUCCAAGCAGGGCCUCCCAGGUGGAUUGAGGAAUGCCUGGCUUUUCCUCAGCUCCUUGAUCCCGGAGGUGACCACAGGCAGCCUCCAGAAGACCCCUACAAUGAGAGGCCUGGGGUCUGCAACUCGCUGCUAGAAUUUUUUAAAGAAUG